AUCCAGACGACGAGACCCAAAUAGGACGAGAUGCGCAUCCUAGAU
rnacentral:hammerhead_ribozyme from 1 species